CUAGUUUAACAUCUAGAAGGAUAUUGUCAUUUAUGACAAAGGUACGGGUUCAAGUCCCGUAAAGGACU
rnacentral:tRNA from 1 species